rfam:Myotis lucifugus cont2.539, whole genome shotgun sequence.
GGAUGUAAGGGCAUUCUGACUACAACAUCUGUCACUUCAUUGAUCCAAUCUUGAUUCUACUGAUCUUGCUUCCUCCCUCACUGCUCCAUGUGCAUCCCUCCCCAAACUGUGACUAGUUCCAGGGGACAACCUUCCUGGAUAGAGGAUGCACAUUAAGGUGAUCUAG